AAUGACUCUCGCAAUGGAUAUCUCGGCUCUCGCAUCGAUUAAGAACGUAGCAAAAUACGAUACUUGGUGUGAAUUGCAGAAUCCCAUGAACCAUCGAGUCUUUGAACGCAUGUUGUGCCCGAAGCCAUUAGGCCAAGGGCACGUCUGCCUGGGCAUCACGCAUCCUGUCUCCCUCUCGCAUCGUACCUCCAGCACGGGGUACGCUGUCUUCGCGGGGCGGAUACUGGCCUCCCGCACGCCUCGCACUCACUGCUGUCCUAAAUACGAGUCCACGUCGACGGACGUCGCGGCAAGUGGUGGUUGCAACUCAACUCUCUUUUCCAUUGCGGCUACGGCCCGUCGAGCAUCCCAGACUCCAGGACCCCUUCGAGCUCAGGCGUUCCGACCGCGACCCCAAGUCAGGCGGGAUUAACCGCUGAGUUUAAGAAUAUUAAUAAGCAGAGGAAAAGAAACUUACGAGGAUUCCCUUAGUAACAGCGAGCGAACCGGGAACAGCCCAGCCUUAGAAUCGGGCGACUCCGUCAUCCGAAUUGUAGUUUGGAGAGUCGUCGUCAGUGGCGGACUGGGCCAAAGUCCCCUGGAAUAGGGCGCCAGAGAGGUUGAGAGCCCCGUUGUGCCCGAAACCUGUCGCACCAUGAGGCGCUGUCUGUGAGUCGGGUUGUUUGGGAAUGCAGCCCAAAUCGGGCGGUGAAUUCCGUCGAAGGCUAAAUACGGGCGAUAGACCAAUAGCGAACAAUACCGCCAGGGAAAGAUGAAAAGGACUUUGAAAAGAGAGUCAAAGAGUGCUUGAAAUUGUCGGGAGGGAAGCGGAUAGGGGCCGGCGAUGCACCCCGAGAAGGAUGUAGAACGGCGAUGAUCAGGUCUGCCGAUUGACUCGGGGCAUGGACCAGCGUCGAUUGGGUGACGGCCAAAGCUCGGGCUCUCGAUAUGCUCGUGGAACGCCGUAUCCUCGAUUGUGGCAGGCAGCGCACGCCUCCGGCGUGCUUCGGCAUCUGCGCGCACCGGACGCUGGCCUGUGGGCUCCCCAUUCGACUCAUCUUGAAACACAGACGCGGCAGAACUGGCAAUGCAGGAUGAACCAAAAGCUGGGUUAUGGUGCCAAACUAUGCGCUAACCUAGAUCCCACAAAGGGUGUUGGUCGAUUAAAACAACAGGACGGUGGUCAUGAAAGUCGAAAUCCACUAAGGAGUGUGUAACAACUCACCUACCGAAUACACUAGCCUCGAAAAUGGAUGGCGCUUAAGUGCGCGACCUGUACUCAGCCGUCGGGGCAAAUUCAAUGCCCCGAUGAGUAGGAGGGAGCGGUGGUCACUGCAAAACCUUAGGCGCGAUCCCAGGCGGAGCGGCCAUCGAUGCAGAUCUUGGUGGUAGUAGCAAAUAUUCAAAUGAAAACUUUGAAGGCCGAAAAGGGGAAAGGUUGCAUGUUAACGGCACUUGCACAUGUGUUAGUCGAUCCUAAGGGUCAAGGAAACCCCUAUAGACAGCGCAUUUUGCGCGUGCUCCGAUAGGGAAUUGGGUUAAAAUUCCUGAACUGGGACGUGGCGGUUGACGGCAACAUUAGGAAGUUCGGAGACGUCGGUGGGAGCCUCGGGAAGAGUUAUCUUUUCCAUUUAACAGCUUGCCCACCCUAGAAUCAGCUCAGCCAGAGAUAGGGUCCAGCAGCUAGAAGAGCAGCGCACGUCGCAUGGUGUCCGGUGUGCUCCCGGCGGCCCUUAAAAAUCCGGAGGACCGAAUGCCGUCCAUGCUCAGUCAUACUCAUAACCGCAUCUGGUCUCCAAGGUGAACAACCUCUGGUCGAUGGAACAAUGUAGGCAGGGGAAUUCAGCAAAGUGGAUCCGUAACUUUGGGAAAAGGAUUGGCUCUGAGGGCUGGGCAUGGGGGUCCCAGUCCCGCGCCCGUUGGCUGUCGGUGGACUGCUCGAGAUGCUCCCCACUUAUUGAACAGCCAACUCAGAACUGGUAUGGAAAAGGGGAAUCCGAUUGUUUAAUUAAAACAAAGCAUUGCGAUGGUCACAACAGAUGUUCACGCAAUGUGAUUUCUGCCCAGUGCUCUGAAUGUCAAACUGAAGAAAUUCAACCAAGCGCAGGUAAACGACGGGAGUAACAAUGACUCUCUUAAGGUAGCCAAAUGCCUCGUCAUCUAAUUAGUGAUGCGCAUGAAUGGAUUAACGAGAUUCCCACUGUCCCUGUCUACUAUCCAGCGAAACCACAACCAAGGCAACGGGCUUGGCAGAAUCAGCGGGGAAAGAAGACCCUGUUGAGCUUGACUCUAGUCCGACUUUGUGAAAUGACUUGAGAGGUGUAGUAUAAGUGGGAGCUGAAAGGCGAAAGUUAAAUACCACUACUUUAAUGUUAUUUUACUUAUUCCGUGAAUCGGAAGUGGGGCACUGCCUCUCUUUUAGACCCAAGGCUCGCUCUGCGGGCCGAUCCGGGCAGAAGACAUUGUCAGGUGGGGAAUUUGGCUGGGGCAGCACAUCUGUUAAAAGAUAACGCAGGCGUCCUAAGAUGAGCUCAAGGAGAACAGAAAUCACGUAUGGAAUAUAAGGGUAAAAGCUCCUUUGAUUCUGACUUCCAGUACAAAUACGAACCGUGAAAGCGUGGCCUAACGACCCUUUAGACAUUCGGAAUUCAAAGGUAGAGGUGUCAAAAAAGUUACCACAGGUAUAAUUGGCUUGUGGCAGUUAAGCGUUCAUAGUGACGUUGCUUUUUGAUCCUUCGAUGUCGGCUCUUCCUAUCAUUGUGAAGCAGAAUUAACCAAGUGUUGGAUUGUUCACCCACGAAUAAGGAACGUGAUCUGGGUUUAGACCGUCGUGAGACAGGUUAGUUUUACCCUACUAAUGACAGUUUCUUAAUAGUAAUUCAACCUAGUACGAGAGGAAUUGUUGAUUCACACAAUUGUUCAUCGCGCUUGGUUGAAAAGCCAGUGGAGCGAAGCUACCAUGUGCUGGAUUAUGACUGAACGCCUCUAAGUCAGAAUCCAGGCUACAAGCGACGCAUGUGCCCACCACCCACUUUACGACCCGCAGUAGGGGCCUCGGCCCCCAAGGGCACAUGUCGUUGGCUAAGCACCGCGGCGGAAGGGUCACGGUGGCCGCCUUAAAGUACAAGUGAAGUACAAUUUCCAUCAAGCGACGGGCAGAAUCCUUUGCA
rnacentral:rRNA from 1 species